CGCGGCCUAUCAGCUUGUUGGUGGGGUAACGGCCUACCAAGGCUUCGACGGGUAGCUGGUCUGAGAGGACGAUCAGCCGGAUUGGGACUGAGAUACGGCCCAGACUCCUACGGGGGGCAGCAAUUAGGAAUCUUGCACAAUGGGGGCAACCCUGAUGCAGCGACGUCGCGUGGAGGAUGAAAUCUUUCGGGAUGUAAACUCCUUUUCUCAGGGAAGAAAAAAAUGACGGUACCUGAGGAAUAAGCCCCGGCCAACUACGUGCCAGCAGCCGCGGUAACACGUAGGGGGCAAGCGUUGUCCGGAUUUAUUGGGCGUAAAGAGCUCGUAGGUGGUUCGGUAAGUCAGGUGUGAAACCUCCAGGCUCAACCUGGAGACGCCACUUGAUACUGCUGUGACUGGAGUCCGGUAGGGGAGCGUGGAAUUCCUGGUGUAGCGGUGAAAUGCGCAGAUAUCAGGAGGAACACCAGCGGCGAAGGCGGCGCUCUGGGCCGGUACUGACACUGAGGAGCGAAAGCGUGGGCAGCAAACAGGAUUAGAUACCCCGGUAGUCCACGCCGUAAACGUUGGGCACUAGGUGUGGGUCACAACCAACGUGAUCUGUGCCGUAGCUAACGCAUUAAGUGCCCCGCCUGGGGAGUACGG
rnacentral:rRNA from 1 species